UACGGGGGGUGCGAGCGUUGUCCGGAAUCACUGGGCGUAAAGGGCGCGUAGGUGGUUUGAUAAGGGUGUGGUGAAAGUCCGGAGCUCAACUCCGGAUCUGCCGUGCCGACUGUCAAACUCGAGGGCUGUAGAGGCAGACGGAAUUCCGGGUGUAGCGGUGGAAUGCGUAGAGAUCCGGAGGAAGACCGGUGGCGAAGGCGGUCUGCUGGGCAGUUUCUGACACUGAUGCGCGACAGCGUGGGAGCAAACAGG
rnacentral:rRNA from 1 species